rnacentral:rRNA from 1 species
UACAGAGGGUGCGAGCGUUAAUCGGAAUUACUGGGCGUAAAGCGUGCGUAGACGGUAGCGUAAGUCAGAUGUGAAAGCCCCGGGCUCAACCUGGGAAUUGCAUUUGAGACUGCUCUGCUCGGGUGCGGAAGAGGGAAGCGGAAUUUCCGGUGUAGCGGUGAAAUGCGUAGAUAUCGGAAGGAACACCAGUGGCGAAAGCGGCUUCCUGGUCCGACACCGACGUUCAGGCACGAAAGCGUGGGGAGCAUACAGG